AAAUCACAUAUACAAUUUAUUAGUUUAACUCAGGUAUUUAAUAUCCCUACAGGAGGUCUAUUGAUCGGCCUGGGCGUCUUCCACCUUCUGCUGCUCUACAAAAUGAAACUGGAAGCGAAGGAAGCGUUACUGGAGGCCAAGGAAGAUUCUUACGACAGGUGUGAGGAUGAGGAGGUCACUCUAGAGGCAUGAAGGUACGAGGAUGAGAUGGACGCAGAAGUAGCAGAAGGUGUCAACACAGCCGCCUCCUGCCACGACUCUACCCUGAAGAUGUUGCCACGCCUCUCUGCCGCCCUCCUGGCUGACUACGCCUUCUUUGUUAGCCUCACAGGAUGAUCACGCCCACACUGACGCCCCUGGAGGAUCAUUACGCCCACACUGAUGCCUCUGAAGGAGGAUGACCACGCCCAUAUUAGUGUCUCUGGAGGAUUAACACGCCCACAAUGAUAAUAUUAUUGGAUCAUCACGCCCACGGAAGAGGAUCAUCACGCCCACGGAAGAGGAUCUCACGGGUUAGAAACACAAUGGUGAAGUAAACAUGACCUACUGAUAACCACACCACACCACACCACACCAUAAAACAACACCAUCCAUCACUCGUUGACACCAUACUGACACCAUAUCACCACUACACUAAACAUACGGCUCCCUAGAAGACCCUAAAAUAGCAGACACCAUACUAGAUGAUGUCUAUAUAAUGGUGACAUAAUAACACUACACUGACAACUAUCACCAUAACCCUUAAAAAGAUUAUCACACAUAAAUACACCUAUAACAGCUGCACCAUUCACUUCACCAUAACAGUAGCACAUAUCUAUAAUACUUGCACCAUACUUUCAACUGUCACGUACACUUAAUAUAUUUACACCAUACACUAUCAUAAUAACACCCCAGAUCUACAAUAUAUACACCAUACCUUUUACCAUAAUAGUCAUACAAUAAUAAUUACACCAUACACUACACCAUAUCCUUACCAGGUUAGCACUGCAUAUUCACUCCCACUAGUCAUAUUAGCACCAUUCUUCACCAUACACACAUCAGUCUCACACCAUCACCUUACGUCAUAUUCACUAUAUCAAUAUUAGUUACUCACCAUGAUAAAGCACCAUAUUCACUGUAUUUAUUAUUACACACUUAUAUAAACUCUAUUGUUAGCACACACACACACACACACACACACACACACACACACACACACACACACACACACACAACACAAAUUUUAACGAAAGACUAAAACGAUAAUAAUUGUAAUGAAAAAAAACAAAAAACAGACCUGCAAGUCACUCAAUGUAUGACAUAUAUGAGUGUAUGUCUCAAUUGACUUUAAAGUGUGUUUUAAGUACUAAGUCAAUAUUCUACUCAGAGGUCUAACAUGAACUGAGAUAAUGAGAAACAUUUGGUGUCUAGAUCUGUCGUGAGAAACAAUAACAAUUGAGUAGUAAAGACGGAUUCAUGUAUAGAAUUAAGACAUGUUCCUCUAGGAGAUACAACACAAGAUAUGUCAAAUACUUCAUAAUGGGAAUAUAAACGAUUGAGUUUAAUACUUUUCUUAAUGUUCAAGUGAAAAUAAGAGAGGUGUCGAGAAGGGCCUUGGACGAGGUGUGUUACUGGCUAAUUGGACCCCAGCCUCAAACCUAACCUGAUGGGCCCCUAGUCCUAAGAGGCCAAGAUAUAUUGGAUUCUUACUGGUUAGGUUAGGUUAGGUUAAGUUAUGUACUAAGUGUCCAUUAAGACAGCGGGCCCAUUUGACCACACACCACUGGGACGAGAUAUUUAAUUCUCCAGUGACAAGUUUUACCACAGAAAGAUGAAGUGAUAAAUGUACAGACACUAUUAACGCACAGUCAGUUGUCUCUCUUUUUGCUUAACCUGUUCAGUAUCGACACAGUCCACCUAGUUCUCUAUAUCACAAGUUUCUUAUUUAUUUUCUUUCUGUGAACCAAAUUAUCCAUUGUUCAUCAUUCACCUGUUCCAAAUUUGUAAAUAUAUCAAAAGUUUUAUAAUUUCGAUAUGUAAUUAUUUCUUUAUACUAGUCAAACAAACUCACAUGUAAUAUAAGAUUCCUGAGUAACCUUGAUGCCAUAAGAAUCAUUUAUCAUAAAGUAAAUAUUUUUGAUUCUUUCGUUCAAGUUGGUUUAUUAACUAAUGUUCAAGAUAAUGAUAUUCUUCCCAAGUCACACUCAACUCUCUAUUUGUAUCUACAAUAACGAAUAAAAGUGUAAUGUUA